rnacentral:rRNA from 1 species
CCUACGGGAGGCAGCAGUGGGGAAUAUUGGACAAUGGGCGAAAGCCUGAUCCAGCAAUGCCGCGUGUGUGAAGAAGGUCUUAGGAUUGUAAAGCACUUUCGACGGGGACGAUGAUGACGGUACCCGUAGAAGAAGCCCCGGCUAACUUCGUGCCAGCAGCCGCGGUAAUACGAAGGGGGCUAGCGUUGCUCGGAAUGACUGGGCGUAAAGGGCGCGUAGGCGGAUUGUUUAGUUAGGUGUGAAAUUCCUGGGCUUAACCUGGGGACUGCACUUAAUACAGGCAGUCUAGAGUGAGAUAGAGGGUUGUGGAAUUCCCAGUGUAGAGGUGAAAUUCGUAGAUAUUGGGAAGAACACCGGUGGCGAAGGCGGCAACCUGGAUCUUUACUGACGCUGAGGCGCGAAAGCGUGGGGAGCAAACAGGAUUAGAUACCCUGGUAGUCCACGCUGUAAACGAUGUGUGCUGGAUGUUGGGUGACCUAGUCACUCAGUGUCGUAGCUAACGCGAUAAGCACACCGCCUGGGGAGUACGGCCGCAAGGUUGAAACUUAAGGAAUUGACGG